CCUGGGAACUGCGUUNUGAACUGGGUGACUAGAGUGUGUCAGAGGGAGGUAGAAUUCCACGUGUAGCAGUGAAAUGCGUAGAGAUGUGGAGGAAUACCGAUGGCGAAGGCAGCCUCCUGGGAUAACACUGACGUUCAUGCUCGAAAGCGUGGGUAGCAAACAGGAUUAGAUACCCUGGUAGUCCACGCCCUAAACGAUGUCAAUUAGCUGUUGGGCAACUUGAUUGCUUAGUAGCGUAGCUAACGCGUGAAAUUGACCGCCUGGGGAGUACGGUCGCAAGAUUAAAACUCAAAGGAAUUGACGGGGACCCGCACAAGCGGUGGAUGAUGUGGAUUAAUUCGAUGCAACGCGAAGAACCUUACCUGGUCUUGACAUGUACGGAAUCCUCCAGAGACGGAGGAGUGCCUUCGGGAGCCGUAACACAGGUGCUGCAUGGCUGUCGUCAGCUCGUGUCGUGAGAUGUUGGGUUAAGUCCCGCAACGAGCGCAACCCUUGUCAUUAGUUGCCAUCAUUUAGUUGGGCACUCUAAUGAGACUGCCGGUGACAAGCCGGAGGAAGGUGGGGAUGACGUCAAGUCCUCAUGGCCCUUAUGACCAGGGCUUCACACGUCAUACAAUGGUCGGUACAGAGGGUAGCCAAGCCGCGAGGUGGAGCCAAUCUCACAAAACCGAUCGUAGUCCGGAUUGCACUCUGCAACUCGAGUGCAUGAAGUCGGAAUCGCUAGUAAUCGCAGGUCAGCAUGCUGCGGUGAAUACGUUCCCGGGUCUUGUACACACCGCCCGUCACACCAUGGGAGUGGGGGAUACCAGAAGUAGGUAGGGUAACCGCAAGGA
rnacentral:rRNA from 1 species